AGUGAACGCUGGCGGUAGGCCUAACACAUGCAAGUCGAACGGCAGCACAGGAGAGCUUGCUCUCUGGGUGGCGAGUGGCGGACGGGUGAGGAAUACAUCGGAAUCUACUUUUUCGUGGGGGAUAACGUAGGGAAACUUACGCUAAUACCGCAUACGACCUACGGGUGAAAGCAGGGGACCUUCGGGCCUUGCGCGGAUGAAUGAGCCGAUGUCGGAUUAGCUAGUUGGCGGGGUAAAGGCCCACCAAGGCGACGAUCCGUAGCUGGUCUGAGAGGAUGAUCAGCCACACUGAAAAUGAGACACGGUCCAGACGCAUACGGGAGGCAGCAGUGGGGAAUAUUGGACAAUGGGCGCAAGCCUGAUCCAGCCAUACCGCGUGGGUGAAGAAGGCCUUCGGGUUGUAAAGCCCUUUUGUUGGGAAAGAAAAGCAGCGGGUUAAUACCCCGCUGUUCUGACGAUACCCAAAGAAUAAGCACCGGCUAACUUCGUGCCAGCAGCCGCCGUAAUAC
rnacentral:rRNA from 1 species